rnacentral:rRNA from 1 species
UUUAUGGAGAGUUUGAUCCUGGCUCAGGAUGAACGCUGGCGGCGUGCCUAAUACAUGCAAGUCGAGCGAACGGACGAGAAGCUUGCUUCUCUGAUGUUAGCGGCGGACGGGUGAGUAACACGUGGAUAACCUACCUAUAAGACUGGGAUAACUUCGGGAAACCGGAGCUAAUACCGGAUGAUAUUUUGAACCGCAUGGUUCAAAAGUGAAAGACGGUCUUGCUGUCACUUAUAGAUGGAUCCGCGCUGCAUUAGCUAGUUGGUAAGGUAACGGCUUACCAAGGCAACGAUGCAUAGCCGACCUGAGAGGGUGAUCGGCCACACUGGAACUGAGACACGGUCCAGACUCCUACGGGAGGCAGCAGUAGGGAAUCUUCCGCAAUGGGCGAAAGCCUGACGGAGCAACGCCGCGUGAGUGAUGAAGGUCUUCGGAUCGUAAAACUCUGUUAUUAGGGAAGAACAUAUGUGUAAGUAACUGUGCACAUUUUGACGGUACCUAAUCAGAAAGCCACGGCUAACUACGUGCCAGCAGCCGCGGUAAUACGUAGGUGGCAAGCGUUAUCCGGAAUUAUUGGGCGUAAAGCGCGCGUAGGCGGUUUUUUAAGUCUGAUGUGAAAGCCCACGGCUCAACCGUGGAGGGUCAUUGGAAACUGGAAAACUUGAGUGCAGAAGAGGAAAGUGGAAUUCCAUGUGUAGCGGUGAAAUGCGCAGAGAUAUGGAGGAACACCAGUGGCGAAGGCGACUUUCUGGUCUGUAACUGACGCUGAUGUGCGAAAGCGUGGGGAUCAAACAGGAUUAGAUACCCUGGUAGUCCACGCCGUAAACGAUGAGUGCUAAGUGUUAGGGGGUUUCCGCCCCUUAGUGCUGCAGCUAACGCAUUAAGCACUCCGCCUGGGGAGUACGACCGCAAGGUUGAAACUCAAAGGAAUUGACGGGGACCCGCACAAGCGGUGGAGCAUGUGGUUUAAUUCGAAGCAACGCGAAGAACCUUACCAAAUCUUGACAUCCUUUGACAACUCUAGAGAUAGAGCCUUCCCCUUCGGGGGACAAAGUGACAGGUGGUGCAUGGUUGUCGUCAGCUCGUGUCGUGAGAUGUUGGGUUAAGUCCCGCAACGAGCGCAACCCUUAAGCUUAGUUGCCAUCAUUAAGUUGGGCACUCUAAGUUGACUGCCGGUGACAAACCGGAGGAAGGUGGGGAUGACGUCAAAUCAUCAUGCCCCUUAUGAUUUGGGCUACACACGUGCUACAAUGGACAAUACAAAGGGCAGCGAAACCGCGAGGUCAAGCAAAUCCCAUAAAGUUGUUCUCAGUUCGGAUUGUAGUCUGCAACUCGACUACAUGAAGCUGGAAUCGCUAGUAAUCGUAGAUCAGCAUGCUACGGUGAAUACGUUCCCGGGUCUUGUACACACCGCCCGUCACACCACGAGAGUUUGUAACACCCGAAGCCGGUGGAGUAACCUUUUAGGAGCUAGCCGUCGAAGGUGGGACAAAUGAUUGGGGUGAAGUCGUAACAAGGUAGCCGUAUCGGAAGGUGCGGCUGGAUCACCUCCUUUCU